rnacentral:rRNA from 1 species
UACAGAGGGUGCUAGCGUUGUUCGGAAUUAUUGGGCGUAAAGCGCGUGUAGGCGGCCAAGCAAGUCGGGUGUGAAAGCCCUCAGCUUAACUGAGGAAGUGCGCCCGAAACUACAUGGCUUGAGUACCGGAGAGGGUGGCGGAAUUCCCGGUGUAGAGGUGAAAUUCGUAGAUAUCGGGAGGAACACCAGUGGCGAAGGCGGCCUCCUGGACGGCUACUGACGCUGAGACGCGAAAGCGUGGGGAGCAAACAGG